UACGGAGGGUGCGAGCGUUGUUCGGAAUCACUGGGCGUAAAGCGCGUGUAGGCGGCCCACUAAGUCUGAUGUGAAAGCCCGGGGCUCACCCCCGGAAGUGCAUUGGAAACUGGUGGACUCGAGUCCCGGAGAGGAGAGUGGAAUUCCUGGUGUAGCGGUGAAAUGCGUAGAUAUCAGGAGGAACACCGGUGGCGAAGGCGGCUCGCUGGACAAGUAUUGACGCUGAGGUGCGAAAGCGUGGGGAGCAAACAGG
rnacentral:rRNA from 1 species